GGCUACUGCCGGGGCUGCUGCAAUCUCCAGGUUUCCACAGUGAGACAUGCCCUGUGCCAACAUCUGCAAGCCUUCUCCCUUCUGAUCUGGAUGCAGAAAGGUAGUAGUCUUUCAUGAUAAAUUUUAGUGAAGUGCAACUCGGCAGGAGAAGAAGGAAUUCAGAGCAACAUCUACUUCAGUCACAGUAUCCUGCUUCUCAGUCCUGGUGAAGUUAGGCCGACUGCAGGCCUGUUCUCCAGAAAGGCUGCACAGGAUGGGAAUUUGAGCCGACGGUCACAGAAAAACUGCUCAUGCAGAAGCAUUCUUAAUAGAAGACUACAAGGAGCUGACCAUCGAAAUGGACAAAAG
rnacentral:lncRNA from 1 species